rnacentral:rRNA from 1 species
CCCUGCCUACGGGACGCAGCAGUGGGGAAUAUUGGGCAAUGGGCGCAAGCCUGACCCAGCAAUGCCGCGUGAAGGAAGAAGGCCCUCGGGUUGUAAACUUCUUUUAUCAGGGACGAAGGAUGUGACGGUACCUGAUGAAUAAGCUCCGGCUAACUACGUGCCAGCAGCCGCGGUAAUACGUAGGGAGCAAGCGUUAUCCGGAUUUACUGGGUGUAAAGGGCGCGUAGGCGGGAUGGCAAGUCAGAUGUGAAAUCCAGGGGCUCAACCCCUGAACUGCAUUUGAAACUGUCCAGCUGGAGUGCAGG